GCAGCAUGGUCUUAGCUUGCUAAGGCCGAUGGCGACCGGCGCACGGGUGAGUAACACGUAUCCAACCUGCCGUCUACUCUUGGACAGCCUUCUGAAAGGAAGAUUAAUACAAGAUGGCAUCAUGAGUCCGCAUGUUCACAUGAUUAAAGGUAUUCCGGUAGACGAUGGGGAUGCGUUCCAUUAGAUAGUAGGCGGGGUAACGGCCCACCUAGUCUUCGAUGGAUAGGGGUUCUGAGAGGAAGGUCCCCCACAUUGGAACUGAGACACGGUCCAAACUCCUACGGGAGGCAGCAGUGAGGAAUAUUGGUCAAUGGGCGAGAGCCUGAACCAGCCAAGUAGCGUGAAGGAUGACUGCCCUAUGGGUUGUAAACUUCUUUUAUAAAGGAAUAAAGUCGGGUAUGGAUACCCGUUUGCAUGUACUUUAUGAAUAAGGAUCGGCUAACUCCGUGCCAGCAGCCGCGGUAAUACGGAGGAUCCGAGCGUUAUCCGGAUUUAUUGGGUUUAAAGGGAGCGUAGAUGGAUGUUUAAGUCAGUUGUGAAAGUUUGCGGCUCAACCGUAAAAUUGCAGUUGAUACUGGAUAUCUUGAGUGCAGUUGAGGCAGGCGGAAUUCGUGGUGUAGCGGUGAAAUGCUUAGAUAUCACGAAGAACUCCGAUUGCGAAGGCAGCCUGCUAAGCU
rnacentral:rRNA from 1 species